rnacentral:lncRNA from 1 species
GAGAUGCCGCUGCUGAGGAAGCCCCCGAGGGACGCGGGGGGUGAGGAUGAGGACGGGGACCCGUUCGCGUCGCACCCCGAGAGCCGCUACCGCCGCCGGGCCACCCUGGAGCGCCUGGUGGGGCUGGCUCCCUUCGGCCGCCCCAAGCGACCCAAAGCCGGAGACGGGGACGGGGACGGGGACGGCGGGCGCCCGCGGGGUCAGCGGCGCCGCUCCGAGGAUUUCGGGGUCCUGCUGAGGUUCCCGGGCCGGAGGAAAGGGAGCGCGGAACCCGGCGGGGACAGAGCGGGAGCCAAGCGCGGCUCGCUGCUCCGCAUGGCGCUGGGGAACAAGGGCCGAAGAGAUCCGGCCGAGAGGGGAACGGCGCCCGCGGGGGACGGGGACGCGGCCACGGAUGGGGACGGGGACGCCGAGGGACGGGGGAACGAGGGCAGCGGGAGCAGGAGGGAGCCGCUGUCGGUGCUGGAGAUCCUGGAGCUGAUCCAGCGCCGCGAGCUGGUGGCGGCGGACGAGCAGAUCAUCGCGCUGGAAGCCGAGUGCUC